rnacentral:rRNA from 1 species
UACGUAGGGGGCAAGCGUUGUCCGGAUUCAUUGGCGUAAAGAGCGUGUAGGCGGCCAGAUAGGUCGGUUGUGAAAACUCGGGCUCAACUCCGAGCCUGCGUUCGAUACUGGACGGCUAGAGUCUGGUAGGGGAUCUGGAAUUCCUGGUGUAGCGGUGGAAUGCGCAGAUAUCAGGAGGAACACCGGUGGCGAAGGCGGGAUCCUGGGCCAGUACUGACGCUGAGGAGCGAAAGCGUGGGAGCAACAGG